GGACCUGUGGCACAACGGUAGCGCGUCUGCUUACAAUGCGGGUUUCCAGAAGAUUACCCGUUCAAGUCGGGUCGGGUCUU